rnacentral:rRNA from 1 species
ACGUAGGAGGCGAGCGUUAUCCGGAUUUACUGGGCGUAAGGCGCGUGCAGGCGGUGCGAUAAGUCGUGCGUGAAAGCUCCCAGGCUUAACCGGGAGAGGACGUGCGAGACUGUCGGACUAGAGGCAGGUAGAGGCAAGUGGAAUUCCCGGUGUAGUGGUGGAAUGCGUAGAUAUCGGGAGGAAUACCGGUGGCGAAGGCGACGCUCUGGUCCAGCCCUGACACUGAGGCGCGAAAGCGUGGGGAGCAAACGG